rnacentral:rRNA from 1 species
CCAAGGAGUCUAACAUGUGUGCAAGUCAAUGGGCUCACUAAACCCAAAGGCGAAAUGAAAGUGACGGGCGCCCGGGGCAGCUGUAACAGGCUCUCCGGUGCGUCUUGGGCCGAUCCCUGACCGGCUGCCUGCGGCCUCGCCCACGCCGCGACAAGCGGGGUGAGAUACUUUCCCCCGUCUCUGGACGUUGCGUGUGGUGGAGGUCGUCAGGGCGAUGGUCGAAGUUUAAUUUCCCCUCAUGGGAGGGGGGGGCGCAGGCCCGGGACUUGCCAAGACGCCGCGGUGCUGUCCGUCCCCGGAAGCGGGCCGUCGGUAAACGGCGGAGGCGCACCGGGGCAGGCUCGCGGGCAGUCGGCAAGUACCAUGAGCAUAUAUGUUGGGACCCGAAAGAUGGUGAACUAUGCCUGGCCAGGAUGAAGCCAGAGGAAACUCUGGUGGAGGUCCGUAGCGAUUCUGACGUGCAAAUCGAUCGUCGGAGCUGGGUAUAGGGGCGAAAGACUAAUCGAAUCAUCUA